rnacentral:siRNA from 1 species
CAUUCUUGAACUUGGUUGAU